GAUGAACGCUGGCGGCGUGCCUAAUACAUGCAAGUCGAGCGAACAGACGAGGAGCUUGCUCCUCUGACGUUAGCGGCGGACGGGUGAGUAACACGUGGAUAACCUACCUAUAAGACUGGGAUAACUUCGGGAAACCGGAGCUAAUACCGGAUAAUAUAUUGAACCGCAUGGUUCAAUAGUGAAAGACGGUUUUGCUGUCACUUAUAGAUGGAUCCGCGCCGCAUUAGCUAGUUGGUAAGGUAACGGCUUACCGAGGCAACGAUGCGUAGCCGACCUGAGAGGGUGAUCCGCCAUACAGGAAAGGCGCGACCGUGCAGACUACGACGGGAGGCAGUAGGAGGGAAUCCUCAGAAGUGGGAGAACGGCUGACGGAGCAACGCCGCGUGAGUGAAGGUCUUCGGAUCGUAAAACUCUGUUAUUAGGGAAGAACAAAUGUGUAAGUAACUAUGCACGUCUUGACGGUACCUAAUCAGAAAGCCACGGCUAACUACGUG
rnacentral:rRNA from 1 species